rnacentral:snoRNA from 1 species
UUGCACUGUUCGUAACCUCUUGACAGCAUAUUUCUGUGAAUAGGUUCCAUUCCAGUGCUACAUGAAAUCCAAUAAUGGAAGGCUGACAAAUGCCAUGUCCCUUCUGUAUUUGGAGACAAAA